AUUUCUGUGUCGGGUUCUCUGAUCUCCAGCAAAGAUGUGGCAGUGAUAUGUGGAAGCAAGGGAACAGGGGCUCCAGAGAAGGCUUCCUGUGGGUCCCUCAUUGGUAAGGAACCAAGUGAAAAGCAGCUUGGCAAUCAUUAAAAGAAUCAUCUUAAAAAUGUGCAGUGACUGGAGGAGUGGCUCAAGUGGCAGAGCGGCUGCUUCAGCAAACAAGAGGCCCAGUAACUUUUUCAAGUAUUUUACCUUCUGAGUCAUGGCUGCUGAAAGCCGAGUUCUGUGGACUUCACUUUUCCAUAUGAGGAUAUUCUGGCAGAAUUCCAAAGCCCAUCCUCACUGG